rnacentral:lncRNA from 1 species
AUCCAUAUUUUUGUAUUAGUGUUACUACUUAAGUGAUUAUGAGAUCAACUAUCCUCUUCAUUGAGCAUACAUAGGAUAUACCAGUCUUACAACUAUCAUUGAUCUCUAAAUCAAUGAUCCUAUAAUUAAAAAUAUUUUAGAUUAAGAUUAUUAAAGAUUUAGAUCUCACUGACAUGAUCUUAUCAUAGCUAUAAAAUUAUUGUUUUAAUCCAUGAGGUUCAUUAUAAUCUUAAUCAAGCAUCAAGAUGUAGCAUAUAAUGAAAUAAAUGUUGGAGCACGAUUUCGGCUCCUCCUACAGACCUUGGGUGUAGCAGAACCAGCAACGAACA